AACAGAGAAGACAGUUAGAAACAAUAUAAAAUUCAGACAAAAGAAGCUUUAAGUUGUCCAAGACUGCUACAAACAGGAAGAAAACACCAUGAAUAACUGAAGCAUAUUCAGGUUAAACAUGCUGAUAUCAUCAGUUAAGAUAACUGACUAAUAUAUGUUGAGGGAAAAGGUAUCAAAAAGUAUUUAGAGCACAAAGGACAAACAAGCACAUCAAUCAGUACUUAAUCAUAUUCAGGCCAAUGAGUCUAUGCAUCAUUAGUUGAAAACACAGUUAGGAAUCCAAGCAAAUGACAAUCAAACUAUAUAGUGGUUAAAAAUACAUAGAAAUCCAAUCAAUCUGUGUUUUUAGGACAUGUGGCCAGCCUCAUCAAUCAUGACCACCUUCUUCUGCUCCCUUACAUUACAUUCAUUUACUUCUGCCAGUUGUGGAGUAACUAGUCUCAGUCUUUUUGUCCUUCAAUUCUAUCAGAUAAUGCUUGCUCACCUUCUAACUAUAUUUCCUCACUUUAUGGCCUACUUAGCUCUUACUCAUUCUUCUUAAUCAUAAUUUCUAUUUCACAACUUUUUCUAUUAUCCACCUAUACCCAAAACAAUUGUUAUUUCUUUCAAUUAUGCAAUGCUGUUAUAUACCCGAUAUCUCAUAUCUCUCAAACUGCUCUCUAAAAUAUAAAUUUCUUAUUUUAGUCUCUAAUUAAUAUCUUAACAAGUUUUUAGUAUUUUCAUAUACUUUAUAGACUAAUUUGGAGAGAGAGUGAUAUCUUAGUGACUAAUUAAGAGGAUUCAGAUUGAGUGCAGUCGGUAAAUUUGGAUCGUUAGGAGGAAAAGCAACAGAUUUUUUUCAGGUUUAUAACAAUAAAGCUAUUCAUUCCAAAUCUAGUAUCCCAAAAGAGUACCCUAUUUCAUCUUUUAAUCUUCAAUCUCAUGAAGCAAAGCACCUUGCUUCUAAGAGAAAGUUGGAGUUUGGAAGUGGUGUUCUUUUCUACAACAGAGGUUGUGUGACAAUAAAAGAAAAGUACGACAAAAUAACAGCGGCUCACCAUGAUUUUACCAAUCCCACCGUGAAAUCAAACAUGUAGUCACUAAAACAAGUUUGUUACUACAAUCAAAAGAAUACUACUGCUAAUCUAGCCAAAGUUCAGCCAUUCCCUUACGACCAACUACUGUCAAAUUCUAUUCACAUCAACGAGAAUUUAUCAAUAUUAAAUAAAAUAAAAACUAAGAUUUAGAAAGUUAAAUACAAGUCACUUGAACAAAUGGUGAUGGAGUUUCCAAUUAUUGACAAUCAUUAACACACUUUUCAGCACUGGUAUUAACUUCUAUAUUGCAAGCUCAUACAAAUCAUAAUUAAAAAAAAAGAAGAAGAAAAAACUAAUAUGAGAAUCUGAAAUGAACAGCACACACUAAGUAGAUGCAAAUCAAACAUAAGUAAAACGAAAUAUGUGACAAGCGUAGGGAACUUUUAUCAGCACAAAAAGUAGAUGCAAGCAAACUGAAAGUAAAUAAUUCGUAAGAAGAAAC